ensembl:lncRNA
UGCUAAUCAUUUUAAUCAUUGCCAUACUGGGUCUGUCUUUCAUAACAUCAUUGAAUUUUAUAUGAGAGAAUUGGGUCCAAAUCUGUCUGAUAACUUUAGAGCCAGCCUGUUAUGAGAACUAGUCUGUAGACACAUAAAAAAAACCUGCCUUCAUUAUUCUUCAUCAAGCUUAUCAAACCUCUUGUGUUUGUUAAAGGAUGUGGCAAACAUGACCAUUCUAUUUCUGAAACUGUUGUGUGGUUUCCCUGGAAAAGCUCCCUAAUAGUUUGGAUGAAUAGAAACUUCAUUGGGCUUUCCCAAGGAUAAAAUCCUUGUCCUGGAAAAACUGUGUUUAAAUACUGUCGACUGAAGCAUACGAAGUAAGAAUUAGCUCCGAUAAAGGGUCCUGGGUUUUAAUUCAGGUUAAGAUUGUCUAUUCUUACACCCUGUUGACUUAAACAAAGGGAUUUUAUGGCAUUUUUCCAUACUCUAUUCCAUCAUCAGUGUGUUUAAGAUAUAUUCAUUGAUUUAACAGAGUCUCAGGAUGUUUAACUGGGUGGUGAAGGUUGUGCCACAUCCUCCUGAUACACAGGAAGAUCUGGGGGAGGAGGCGAUCACAGCGAUAAGUUCAGUUCAUCCAAAACAGGCAGGGAGGAAGACCAAUC